rfam:Triticum aestivum genome assembly, contig: Triticum_aestivum_CS42_TGACv1_scaffold_513429_6BS
UAAGUACUCCCUCCGUUCGGAAUUACUUGUCUCGGAAAUGGAUGUAUCUAGAACUAAAAGUCUAAAAUACAUCUAGAUACAUCCAUUUCUACGACAAGUAAUUCCGAACGGAGGGAGUAACAU